CUCCUUCCAUGUCUUAAUUAUCUUAUGGACAUUUUCCAAAUAGCUUCUAUUUAUGUUUCAAUUAGGCAAAUUUGUUGCUGUUUUGGGACUAGGCAAAAUUUGGAACAUUUUCAAAAUCUUGCAUAUUCCCAAGAACCAAAGCUUAGUGCUGAAGUUUCAACGUACAAUUUGAAGGGAAGUUUGUCAUGCUUGCUUGUGUGGACUCUCACAUGUGUCCAACUAUAGAAGCUUUUAACCAGUGCCAAAUGGUCUGUUGGUGGCAAAUUCAGCUCGUCAAUUUUGGUGUUAAUUCUCUUAAAGUAGAGAACACACUCGUCAUUGGUCGCAGGAGCUGUGUAGACAAUUAUGACUUAAUGAGCAUGGUAGAUGAUGCAAAUUGAAGGUUGGCCAGAUUUUCUCUUCUAUUUACGUGUUUUCAGGUGACUCCCCACAACCAUUGUGUGCAAAUGCAGAUAUGAACUUAGUUUUGUUCUGAUAAGUUCUUAUAUCACUUCCAACUUGGUUCAGUUGGAGUUGGGUGUAAUUGGAAAGUCUAAAGUUACUAAAGUUGCUGUUUCCCGCCUCAGUUUUAACCAGCGAUGCAACCUCUGUGAGAAGUUAUAAUCUCCUUUUCAUUCUAUUUAUGUUUCAGUUAUACUGUAUCCACUUGGGAAUGUGUCUUUUGAGCCGAGGGUCUUUUGGAAAUAGCCUCUCUAUCUCUAUGAGGUAGUGGUAAGGUCUGCGUACACCCUCCCCUCCCCAGACCCCACUUGUGGGAUCCCACUGGGUAUGUUGUUGUUGUUGUUUUUUUUUCCCACGAAGGCUGAAGUGGAUAUGAAGCAGACUGAGGGAAGAGAGAAGCCUAGAGUGGCAUGACGGGAUGAUGGUCUGUAGAAGGAUAUUUCCCAAAGCAUAGUGUAGAAUCUGUAGAUAGAGAGAAACAGUUGUGAAGACUGAUUUACCAAAAGUUUGAAUAUGAUACCAUAUGAAAGAAUAUGUUUCCAACCCAAAAGGCAAUGGGUGGAGCGGCCCAAGGCAUUAUACACUUAUAUUUAUUUAAUUGUAUCUUCAACAUGUCCCGUCAUGUGGGACUUGAUUCUUUUUCAGGAGCCACCGUGAUUUCUUUUAUUUUGUUUUGACAAUAGGUUGUGGUGAGACUUGAAAGAAGAACACCUCCACCUGCUUUGGUACCAUGUUAAAUUGUGUGACCAUCUCAUAAAUCUACUUUAUGAGCCGGAAACAAUCAACUGCUUGUUGGUGAAGUUGCUAACGUUCCAUGGACUAAAAAACAGAGGCACAAAUAGGAGUUGAUACUUCAGGGCGGCUACAAUGAUUAUAUACUCUAUCAUUGAGAAGUGAACCCAUGAUUAUGGAAGAAUUCUCGAGUGGAUAAUCAAGCCUCUAUUGAAAACUGGGAUCUUUGGAUAAUCAAGAAUUCUCGAGUGGAUAAUCAAGCCUCUAUUUCUAUUUAUGUUUUUUGUAUCAACCUAUUAGUAAAGUAAUACAAAUUUCAUUGUUUCCUUUGCUGAAAGGCUAAAUGUGACGCAAACUGUCAAGUGUGAGGUCGAUAUGCUAUUCUUUCAGCUAUUGACUUUUAUUCAUUUCUUGGAAUAUUGUAUAAACUGUCACAAGUGUUUCACUUGCAAUAUUCCACCA